UGUACUGAUUCAAAAGUAGUUGAUGAACAAGCAGCAAUUGAAGAUGCCUUAUCUAUCUUAAUCACUGCUCAAUCAGGGGCUAAUUUGAAUCAUGAUGUUG
rfam:Halobacteroidaceae bacterium T328-2 scaffold_925, whole genome shotgun sequence.